GAUGAACGCUGGCGGCGUGCUUAACACAUGCAAGUCGAACGGGAAAUAUUUCAUUGAGACUUCGGUGGAUUUGAUUUAUUUCUAGUGGCGGACGGGUGAGUAACGCGUGGGUAACCUGCCUUAUACAGGGGGAUAACAGUCAGAAAUGGCUGCUAAUACCGCAUAAGCGCACAGAGCUGCAUGGCUCAGUGUGAAAAACUCCGGUGGUAUAAGAUGGACCCGCGUUGGAUUAGCUAGUUGGUGGGGUAACGGCCCACCAAGGCGACGAUCCAUAGCCGGCCUGAGAGGGUGAACGGCCACAUUGGGACUGAGACACGGCCCAGACUCCUACGGGAGGCAGCAGUGGGGAAUAUUGCACAAUGGGGGAAACCCUGAUGCAGCGACGCCGCGUGAAGGAAGAAGUAUCUCGGUAUGUCAACUUCUAUCAGCAGGGAAGAUAGUGACGGUACCUGACUAAGAAGCCCCGGCUAACUACGUG
rnacentral:rRNA from 1 species